rnacentral:sRNA from 1 species
UGCAUUAGUCCGGAGUUGAUGGGUUAUCUGAAAUCUUCUUGCUGCCUUCGGGUAACACCCUGGUCUCCUUGUGAAACCAAAACCAUCCAUUGGACAAACCCGCGUUCUUACAAAGAAUGCAAACCCUUCCCAUCACACCACUUGACCGAUCU